CCCUAAUUCAGAUCUACGAACGAUCCAUGACGAUCCUUCGCGAAGCAGUGGUCUCAUGAAAUAAGGAAACGUAUUCGUGCUAGGAACACACGUGAAUUUCUUGAAUUUAGAUAUAAUAACACUUUGUUUCAUAAUAAACAAUUUGUCAAGUGUCAUUUAUUUACUGGUAGUAGUGCAUGUUUCAGUCGGGCAAAUCUUGAUUAACAUUUGAUACGCCGUUUUUUGCAUAUUUCAGACACAUCCAGAAAUAUGCUCCCGAUUUUAAAGAUUAAUAUCUCCGUGAAUUUUUAAGUGAAAUACAACUGUAAUAUAUCAAAAUUUAAGUUAGUCCUUCC